ensembl:snRNA U6 U6 spliceosomal RNA
GUGCUUGCUUCAGCAGCACAUAUACUAAAAUUGGAACAAUGCAGAGAAGAAUAGCAUGGCCACUGUGCAAGGAUGACCCAUAGAUUUGUGAAUUGGUCCAUAUUUUU